rnacentral:rRNA from 1 species
AGCGAACGCUGGCGGCAGGCCUAACACAUGCAAGUCGAACGAAGUCUUCGGACUUAGUGGCGGACGGGUGAGUAACACGUGGGAACGUACCUUUUGGUUCGGAACAACUCAGGGAAACUUGAGCUAAUACCGGAUGAGCCCUUAGGGGGAAAGAUUGAUCGCCGAAAGAGCGGCCCGCGUUAGAUUAGCUAGUUGGUGAGGUAAAGGCGAACCAAGGCUACGAUCUAUAGCUGGUCUGAGAGGAUGAUCAGCCACACUGGGACUGAGACACGGCCCAGACUCCUGCGGGAGGCAGCAGUGGGGAAUCUUGCGCAUGGGCGAAAGCCUGACGCAGCCAUGCCGCGUGAAUGAUGAAGGUCUUAGGAUUGUAAAAUUCUUUUACCAGGGGCGAUAAUGACGGUACCUGGAGAAAAAGCCCCGGCUAACUUCUUGCCAGCCGCCGCAGUAACAC